rnacentral:rRNA from 1 species
GACCAGACUCCUACGGGAGGCAGCAGUGGGGAAUAUUGCACAAUGGGGGAAACCCUGAUGCAGCGACGCCGCGUGAGCGAUGAAGUAUUUCGGUAUGUAAAGCUCUAUCAGCAGGGAAGAAAAUGACGGUACCUGACUAAGAAGCCCCGGCUAACUACGUGCCAGCAGCCGCGGUAAUACGUAGGGGGCAAGCGUUAUCCGGAUUUACUGGGUGUAAAGGGAGCGUAGACGGCGAUGCAAGCCAGAUGUGAAAGCCCGGGGCUCAACCCCGGGACUGCAUUUGGAACUGUGUGGCUGGAGUGUCGGAGAGGCAGGCGGAAUUCCUGGUGUAGCGGUGAAAUGCGUAGAUAUCAGGAGGAACACCGGCGGCGAAGGCGGCCUGCUGGACCGUGACUGACGUUGAGGCUCGAGAGCGUGGGGAGCAAACAGGAUUAGAUACCCUUGUAC